GGUAGAAAUAGGCGUCCGCCGCCUCUGCCGCCUCAUCGCGAGCGAAGCAGCAGCGUCGUCAUCGCUCUCGCCGCUUCUCCGCAGGAACCAGGCACCGCCAGCCCUUCCCUGCCUGCCUGGCGUGGAGGUUUUCCUCCUUUUUAUUUUGUUUUUUCCUCCCUAAACCAAAGGGAUUUUUAGGGCUUUUGGUUUUUGGGUUUUUUUUUUUUGGCUUUUUUUUCAUCCACGCUCCUUUCCAACCACGCGGCGUUGGUGCCCUUCCUGCCGGCUUUGUGCUCUCAAGCCCCGUCCCUCCUCUUCCUCCUCCGCCGAAAAGCCUUAAGGAGACUCCGAAAGCGCCGCAGCCGCUUGUUCAAACCACCCCCCAAAGCGACGACUGCAACAAAAAGCCUUUAUUAGUAUUAUUAUCUAUUUUCCCCCCUCCACCCUCUUUUUUGUGGGGUUUUUUUCUCCCUCUCUGCUCCCCCGCAACCGCAUCAAGGUGGACGCGCAGCGCAAAAAGACCUUUGUUUUAAAAAUGCCCAUGGAGCUGACGCAAAGCCGCAUCCAGAAGAUUUGGCUUCCCAAUGACAACCGGCCGGCUCUGCCCCGCCGCUCCUGUGGGCCGCAGCUUGCCAAUUCUCCCACUGUGAUAGUGAUGGUUGGCCUCCCAGCCCGUGGGAAGACCUAUAUCUCCAAGAAGUUGACUCGCUACCUCAACUGGAUUGGUGUCCCAACGAAAGUUUUCAAUGUGGGGGAGUAUCGCCGCGAGGCUGUCAAGCAUUACAGCUCCUAUGACUUCUUCCGCCCUGACAACGAGGAAGCCAUGAAAGUCAGGAAGCAAUGUGCCCUGGCUGCCUUGAGGGAUGUCAAGCUGUACCUGACAGAGGAGGGUGGCCAGAUUGCGGUUUUUGAUGCCACCAAUACCACGCGGGAGAGGAGAGGGAUGAUCCUUAACUUCGCCAAAGAAAAUGGGUUCAAGGUUUUCUUCAUUGAAUCUGUCUGCAAUGAUCCCACGGUAGUUGCCACCAACGUUAUGGAAGUAAAAUUGUCCAGCCCUGACUACCGUGACUGUAAUUCGACUGAUGCCAUGGAGGACUUCAUGAAGAGGAUCAAUUGUUACCAAGCCAGCUACCAGCCACUCGACCCUGAUAACUAUGACCGGGAGCUUUCACUCAUCAAAGUCAUUGAUGUUGGCCGGAGGUUCUUGGUCAACAGAGUUCAGGAUCACAUCCAGAGCAGGAUUGUUUACUACCUGAUGAACAUCCAUGUCCAGCCGCGCACCAUUUAUCUCUGUCGGCACGGUGAGAGCGAUUUCAACCUCAAGGGGAAGAUUGGAGGUGACUCGGGCCUCUCCAACAGGGGCAAAAAGUUUGCAAUGGCACUGAACAAGUUUGUUGAGGAGCAAAACUUAAAGGACCUCAAAGUCUGGACCAGCCAGUUAAAGAGGACAAUCCAAACUGCAGAAGCUCUCCAACUGCCCUAUGAGCAGUGGAAGGCACUCAAUGAAAUAGAUGCUGGUGUGUGUGAAGAAAUGACAUAUGAAGAAAUCAGGGAGCAGCAUCCAGAGGAAUUUGCUUUACGUGAUCAAGAUAAAUAUUACUACCGCUAUCCUUCUGGGGAGUCCUACCAAGACCUGGUGCAGCGCCUGGAGCCAGUCAUCAUGGAGCUGGAGAGACAAGAAAAUGUCCUUGUCAUCUGUCACCAAGCUGUAAUGCGCUGUCUCUUGGCAUACUUUCUGGACAAAAGUGCAGAUGAAAUGCCCUACCUUAAAUGUCCCCUUCACACAGUGCUGAAGCUGACCCCGGUGGCCUAUGGCUGCCGGGUGGAGUCCAUCUCGCUGAAUAUUGAAGCUGUCAACACCCACAGGGAACGGCCAGAGGAAGCAAAGAAGGGACCUAACCCGCUCAUGAGACGUAAUAGCGUUACCCCUCUAGCAAGCCCAGAGCCCACCAAAAAACCUCGCAUCAACAGCUUUGAGGAGCAUGUGGCUGUUUCUUCCGCCCUGCCAGGCUGUGUUCCUCAGGAAGUGCCCACGCAGCUGCCGGGACAACCUUUACUAGGGAAGGCAUGCCUAUAACAGAGAGAACAGCUCAACCUGCUCUGCCUCGUAGCCUGGCCAAGAUUCCUGAACAUGAACAACUCGCAGAAACCAUCGUGAUUCCAUUGGUGCUGUCGUGAGGCCACCAGUGACGUCACUGGCGACGCCAGCUUCCCAUCCCAUCGCCAUUUCCGAAGCUUGCUUAUGAACCGGUCUCCUCAGUCCGCGGCGAGGUCGACCCUCAGCUGUUUUCACCCACGCCCGUUUAUCUGCAAACCACUCUGCUGAAGGGGGGAGAGAUGCAGGAGAGUAGAGGAGAGGAACCGAGCUCCCCAGAGUCACCACCAGAUCUUCAAGCUGCAGCAUUUGCUCUCCUCUCCGGCGUCCUGUUAAGUCGUAGCAAGCUGUAAAGUGCUUUAGCGCACAGGAGUUUUAAUUUUCCUCUGUAAGCAGUUUUGGUCUCCUUUUGUAUAGACAAUUGGUACCCAUCUGUCUCCAGAUGGGUUGUGUAUAUAUGGAUGGUGGGGGGGUAGCAGAGAAAUAGGAAGAAGUGGGCGAGAGUGAAGGGGGUUUGCGUUUUUUUUACUAUUAUUAUUAUUAAUUACUUUUCAAGAAAGGUCCCUAACGCGCUGUGCUGCAGUCCCUUACCCACGUGACAGCCUGUUGCACACAAGCCUGGCUCAGCCAGGCCCACAAACACCGGGAAGGCAGUUGUGUCAAGUCCUUCACAGCAAGAACUGCUAGGUUUAACCAAAAAAAAAAAAACCCAAACUUUUUUAUAGUCAAUACACCAUAAAUGGGGUUUGCCGUGAAUGUAGAUCUGCUUCUAGAACUGGUCACAAGCUGCCUGUAGUGUAAGGGGAGCCCUGCUGAUGCUUUCAUCUCGGGGAACACCCAGGGAGAGUCUGUGUGUUGAUUAAUUUUUUUUUUUGGAGGGGGGUCACUGAGGACCUGUGGAGGUGCUGUGCUGGAACUUCACCUCUUGUUCCCUCUUCCUUGGAGGAAAACAGAGGUUUUGGGGACGGUUUUGAUCCCUGCAUCAUCGCAGGACUUAACAGGGACAGGCUGAGUUAGACGAAUUUUGCAGACACACUGGUUUCAUGGAGCUGGCCAGGGGUCUGGCUGGGAUGUGGAAGUGUGUGUGGCUGCAAAAAGCCACAAGAAGGAAUGGUUUUCUCUGUGUUCUUUUUUUUUGUUUUAUUUAAUAUAUAUACAUGCACACACACGUGUGUAUAUCUAGAAACUGCUUGGUUUUUGCACUUUAUUUGUGGCAAGAGCAUAACUAUUUUAUUUUUCUUUUCAAGCCGUGCUCCUUAACAGGGGAAGCCUGAAUACAGGCAACUUUUUAUUUUGCAUGUUGGAAAGCUGGGACUACAAAAAAAAAGGUAGUUAUGGCAUUGGUGUGGGUGCCAGGGAAUAGAGAGAGUUGACAUCAGCCAACUCCCAGAGGUUUGAUAUGUGAGCUCUCUUUUUGGCAGCCUGUUCCAGCCUGCAAGACAGAGAUUAAAAAUGGCAAUUAACCACUACUGCUUAGUGCAAAAGUCUGUGGAUUUUGAAUUUUUUUUUUUCUUUUAGUGUUUUGGGUUGUUUUUUAUUCCCUGCUCUGAUACGUAGCAUCUUCUCCAUCCCUGUCUCUUGCUUUUUGCCUGCACAACUGGGCUGGAGGCAGGAGGUGAAGGCAGCUAAGCUCUCCUGCAGCUGGAGGAUUGGAGAUGGGCAGCCCGUUGGGUUAAUCUUUCCCAUGGAUUUCCCCAUACUCCUGGGUAGGACAAAACAUCCCUACAGAUGGGAGCUCAAGAUAAAAGAAUGAUAACAUUUUUAUAUACUUUUUCUUCUUCUUUUUUGUGUGUGUAUUUUGGGAGGGAGGAUUGAUCUGCUUUUCCUUUGGGAAAAGGUGAACCACAGUGCCUAGCGCUUCAGCCUCAUGCAGCCAAAGUGCGUGCUUGGAGCGGCAUCGAUGGUGAGAGAGGUCUGAGACCACACUUAGUCCAUAGCUGACUGGAGGAGGUGGUCUCGGCAGUGCCCUGCCUGUGUGAGCUUCUGCAUAUAUGUAUUAUAUUCCUGUACAGAUAAAAUCAAUGCUUCCCCCUCCGCUUUUAUUUUUUUUUAAUAACCUCAUUAAAAGCAGACUUCUCCCUAUGUGUCUGGUUGACAUCUGCUCUUUCGGUUUCUCUGACUUUGAGAAAAAUGAAUGUUUUAGGAAGGGGAGUUGCUUGCCUGCUUCCUAGGGAGUUUUAUCUUUCUCCUCCUGCAAUGAAAAGAUAAGCCGGCAAAUACAAACAUGACGUCUGGCUGCCCCAUGAUCAAUACUGUAAACAUAUAAUUGUGCAGAUGUUUGGUGUGUAUUUGUGUGUGUGUAUAUACAUAUAUAUAAAUAUAUAUGUAAAAAAAAAAAUAGCAAAAAUACUUAAUGACCCUAAACUUUCUUCUUUUGGAAAUAAUGGAAGUCUCAGUAGGUCCUACAAAAAGAUGAAAUUUGAACCUGGCAUUUCUUCCAGCAAGGGGAAAAAUGGUCUCUGAGCAGCAGAGUUUCCUGUGCUGGAGAGGGUUAAGUGGUAGGUGAAUGGUGUCAGCCCUCAUGGGUUGACAUGGCCAUCACCCUGCCCCAGAAACUCACUGCUCAUCCUUUUUAGCUAAAGGAGCCAAGGACUGGGCAGCAAUGCUGCAGCAAGGCAAGUGGGGAGAGGGGCCAUGUGGAACCACACCAAUGAUUUCUGCCCCUCUACACCCCCAACCCUCUUAUUUUUCUGGUUUUGUUUUCCUUUGUGAUACUUGAAUUUAUUUUUUUAUUAUUUUUUUUGAUAGCAAAGCGCUCUUUAUUUAUUUAAUGUAUACUGCAAAGCUUGGAGAGAAGGGUAGGUACUUGGGAUUCUUUUUUUGUUUGGAUUUAUGCUAUGUUAACUGUUCUGUAUAUAUGUCUGGAAUAAUUGCCUGAUACAAAGCUGUGCCACCUUAAAAACAGGGUAUGCCUUUCAGAAAUUUGUAUAUUUUGCAGUUGCUGGACCAAUAAAAUAUCUUGUU